UACGUAGGGUGCAAGCGUUGUCCGGAAUUAUUGGGCGUAAAGAGCUCGUAGGCGGUCUGUUACGUCUGCUGUGAAACCCAGGGCUUAACCCUGGGCUUGCAGUGGAUACGGGCAGACUAGAGGCAGGUAGGGGAGAAUGGAAUUCCCGGUGUAGCGGUGAAAUGCGCAGAUAUCGGGAGGAACACCGGUGGCGAAGGCGGUUCUCUGGGCCGGUACUGACGCUGAGACGCGAAAGCGUGGGGAGCGAAACAGGG
rnacentral:rRNA from 1 species